GAGGGGCCCGCGCCCGAUUAGCUAGUUGGUGAGGUAAUGGCUCACCAAGGCUUUGAUCGGUAGCUGGUCUGAGAGGAUGAUCAGCCACACUGGAACUGAGACACGGUCCAGACUCCUACGGGAGGCAGCAGUGGGGAAUCUUGCACAAUGGGCGAAAGCCUGAUGCAGCGACGCCGCGUGGGGGAUGAAGCAUUUCGGUGUGUAAACCCCUUUCGAUCCGGACGAAACCCCGCAAGGGAUUGACGGUACGGAUAUAAGAAGCCCCGGCUAACUACGUGCCAGCAGCCGCGGUAAGACGUAGGGGGCCAGCGUUGUUCGGAAUUACUGGGUGUAAAGGGUUCGUAGGCGGUGUAGCAAGUCGGGAGUGAAAUCUCUGGGCUUAACCCAGAGGCUGCUCCCGAAACUGCUGUGCUUGAGUGUGAGAGAGGCGCGUGGAAUUGCAGGUGUAGCGGUGAAAUGCGUAGAUAUCUGCAGG
rnacentral:rRNA from 1 species